GGGUGGCUAUGAGUAGGGUGGUUUCGGGGAAUGUCGACCGUAAAGGUGCGUGAGUGGUGCUUGGUAUGUUACGGGUGGUUGGAUGUCUGCAUGUGCAGCAACGUCCACCCGUGCACACCUCUUCAUUUGCCGUGAGGGGCCGUCCUUCGGCCUCUAGCAAACGUUGGUUUUUCCUGUGUCGCGUGCCUUCAACAUGGUAUCCUAUUGCUUGCUUUAUGUCCCAUUCCAUCGUGCGUCGCUCAUGCGGUGUGGGGUGGACCCUGAAACGGCCCCUUUGUUCCGUCCCGUCGGUGCUUGUGCGCGGUCGGCAUGGCCCAUUGGGUGUCGCUUGGUUUCUCGGAUACGGAACCUUGUGUGGGUACGGGUCUCUCGGGACCCUGUGUUUGCCCUCGUCAAGCGUUCUCGCUUCUCAGAAA
rnacentral:misc_RNA from 1 species